ACCUUUCAAAUCAGGGUGCGUCGCGGCCCCCGAGGAGCGGAAACAAUCCUGGGGAGGUUUGCGGGGUCUUCGGACCCCCCUAACGCACGCACGGCUGCCAUCCUUACUUUACGAGCACCUUCUGUUCUCCCUCGGCGGGGGGCAACCUGCCGUUGGAACCGAAUAAACUCUUUUUGCAUCUAGCAUUACCUGUUCCGAAACAAACAAUCGUUA
rnacentral:misc_RNA from 1 species